GAGUAGAGUGGCGAACGGGUGAGUAACGCGUGGAUAAUCUGCCUGAUAGUGGGGGAUAACUCGGGGAAACCCGGGCUAAUACCGCAUGAGACCCUAUUUCGAAGGGCGAAAGGUUAUUAAUCGCUAGACAGAGGAGUCCGCGUCCGAUUAGCUGGUACGGUAGGGGUAACGGCUCACCUAGUGCGACGAUCGGUAGCCGGUCUUGAGAGUGACGGACGGCCACACUGGG
rnacentral:rRNA from 1 species